rnacentral:rRNA from 1 species
CCUACGGGAGGCAGCAGUGAGGAAUAUUGGUCAAUGGGCGCGAGCCUGAACCAGCCAAGUCGCGUGAGGGAAGACUGUCCUAUGGAUUGUAAACCUCUUUUGUCUGGGAGCAAAAGACGCCACGCGUGGCGUUCCGUGAGUACCCGAAGAAAAAGCAUCGGCUAACUCCGUGCCAGCAGCCGCGGUAAUACGGAGGAUGCGAGCGUUAUCCGGAUUUAUUGGGGUUAAAGGGUGCGCAGGGGGAAGGUAAAGUCAGCGGUAAAAUAGGGAGGCUAAACCUCUUAGAGCCGUUGAAACCGGUUUUCUUGAGUGAGUGAGAGGUAUGCGGAAUGCGUGGUGUAGCGGUGAAAUGCAUAGAUAUCACGCAGAACUCCGAUUGCGAAGGCAGCAUACCGGCGCUCAACUGACGCUCAUGCACGAAAGUGUGGGUAUCGAACAGGAUUAGAUACCCGUGUAGUC